AUUGAACGCUGGCGGCGUGCUUAACACAUGCAAGUCGAUCGGUAACGCGGGGGCAACCCUGGCGACGAGAGGCGGACGGGUGAGGAACGCUUGGGAAUCUGCCCUUCAGCGGGGGACAACACGGGGGAAACUCGUGCUAAUACCGCAUACGCUCCACGGAGGAAAGCCGGGGACCGCAAGGCCUGGCACUGAAGGAUGAGCCCAAGUCGGAUUAGCUAGUUGGCGGGGUAACGGCCCACCAAGGCGACGAUCCGUAGCUGGUCUGAGAGGACGAUCAGCCACACUGGGACUGAGACACGGCCCAGACUCCUACGGGAGGCAGCAGUGGGGAAUAUUGGACAAUGGGGGAAACCCUGAUCCAGCGACGCCGCGUGGGUGAAGAAGGCCUGCGGGUUGUAAAGCCCUUUCGGUAGGGACGAAAGCUCUCGACCUAACACGUCGGGAGGUUGACUUAACCUACAGAAGAAGCACCGGCUAACUCUGUGCCAGCAGCCGCGGUAAU
rnacentral:rRNA from 1 species